rnacentral:lncRNA from 1 species
CUCGGGGGCAAUGCAUAAUAUUGAUGAGAUGAUGAUAAUGGAAAUGCCUCUGGCCUCUGCUCUUUGCAGAGGGAUUGGAUAGAGCAGCACAGUCUCUGCACCUUAGGACCUGGCAUCUUGCACCUGGAGAGAGCAAUCCCCAUGGAGGAAACUCAUAAUUCAUCUUAGUGAUGCAGACUGCUGCUCAGCAAAUCCCCUCACCACUGGAGCUGCAGAUCUGAAAUGGCAUUAAAGAGGAAAUCAACCUUUUGCACAGUUUCCUCUUGGAAACUCUUUGUGUGUGGCUCUGGGGAUCUUUUCCUGCCUGUUUAACCCAACUGGGAGGAUUCUUCAGGUGCUGUUCACAUCUGCCCUGUCUGAGCCCAGCCCUGCCUGGACAUGAGUCUGAGCAGCUCACACUUCACCAUGCUCCACGUCCAUCCACUCCUGCACCCAUGGAAGCACCCAUGAAGAACUUGUCAGUGAUGAGCUGUGGGAACAAUUCUUUCUGCACACUUUUCCUUCCCAAAGAAAGAAAAAGAAAAAGAAAAUGAAAAAGAAAGAGGAAAAGGAAAAGGAAAAGGAAAAGGAAAAGGAAAAGGA